CACAAACCUCAUCUCACAUGUUGCUCUUUUCCCCUCUUUCACCAGUUCCAGGCACACAGACUUCCUGUCAGUUCUUGGUCAAGCAAGUUCUCGUCCACCUGAGGACCUUGUCCUUGCCUGUUCUUCCGUCUGCCUGGAAGGCUUUCUUCUGUCUUCUGUGCCUGGCUCCUUCCCCACCUUCCGGCCUCACUUGAGAUGUGAUCUUCUCUGACCAUCUUAGCUGAAGUUGGCCUCCUCUCCCUUAAUCUCCAUUGAGCUAAACAGUUUCUUUCAUCUAGAACUUACUAUAGUAAUUAUGUGUUUACUAGUUCACUGUCUGGAAUCGUUUACCCUAGAGCAGUCUACGAUGUAAAGCCAGGAUGGUCAAACUACAGCGCAAGCUUUGUUUUUGCAAAGCUCUGGAGAGUUGGGGUUUCACCGUGUUCCCCAGGCUGGUCUUG
rnacentral:lncRNA from 1 species